rnacentral:SRP_RNA from 1 species
GCCAGGUGCAGUGACGUGUUCCUGUAGUCCCAGCUGCUUGAGAAGCUGGGGUGGGAGGAUCGCUUGAGCCCAGGAGUUCUGGGCUAUAGUGCGCUAUGCCAAUUGGGUGUCCACACUAAGUUUGGCAUCAAUAUGGUGACCUCCCGGGAGCGGGGGACCACCAGGUUGCCUAAGGAGGGGUGAACGAACCAAAGUCAGAAACGGAGCAGGUCAAAACUUCUGUGCUGAUCAGUAGUGGGAUCACACCUGUGAAUAGCCACUGUACUCCAGCCUGGGCAAUAUAGUGAGACCCCAUCUCU